CUCCUCAUCCGGUAGCCAGGCCCCACCCCCUCCCACGACCUUACCAGCUGCACACCCUCCAUUCUGGAUCCUUCCAGCCUCUUGAGGAGAGCCCUGCAGUCAGCCAUGCUUUAUGUCCAGCAGAGGGCCUUCUACAGGGGUCAGCACAGAGCGCUGCUUCAUCUCUCUCCACAGCAGAAUUCACUCUGUAAUUCCGACUUGCCUUGAACUCACUAUGUAGUCUUGGCUGGCCUUGAACUUAUGGCUGUCCUCCUGCCUCAGCCUCCUAAGAGCUGGGAUUACAGGCAUCGAACUCGGCACCUUGCACUUUCAAGGCAGGCAGUGGAACCACUGAGCUAAAUCACUGGACCCAGAAGUAAUUAUCUUAAAGCAAACUUUUUUUGAGAAAAAAAUUUUAAAUUUGUCAAUAUCUCAAACUUCCCUUUGCAUACACUAUAAGAGAAUAUUAUUUAAACUUUUGAAUAGUUUUUUGGGGGCGUUUGAACUUGAAUCUUUAUAUUCCCCACAAUGAAUUAUUCAUAAUCACAUUUUUAUGCUACCCAAAGCAAACUAUUUUGGGAAACAAGGAUACCCAUAAGUGAAUCUACUUGGAAGACCAUAAAGGGAACUUUAUUAAUUGUGGUCAUUGGAAAUGGAAUAGGUCAGAAAAUCUGGAAACUCCUAAGAACUGUAGGGAGAAAUAUUUAUUUUGUAUCAUCAUUUUAGAGUUGAGUGAGUUAAUAUCUAUGUAAAUGUGGACUCAGCUUUUUCAGGAAAUUAGGAAGAAGUACAGCAUGGCGGGACAGUGCUU